rnacentral:rRNA from 1 species
GACGAACGCUGGCGGCGUGCUUAACACAUGCAAGUCGAACGGAAAGGCCCUGCUUUUGUGGGGUGCUCGAGUGGCGAACGGGUGAGUAACACGUGAGUAACCUGCCCUUGACUUUGGGAUAACUUCAGGAAACUGGGGCUAAUGCCGGAUAGGAGCUCCUGCUGCAUGGUGGGGGCUGGAAAGUUUCGGCGGUUGGGGAUGGACUCGCGGCUUAUCAGCUUGUUGGUGGGGUAGUGGCUUACCAAGGCUUUGACGGGUAGCCGGCCUGAGAGGGUGACCGGCCACAUUGGGACUGAGAUACGGCCCAGACUCCUACGGGAGGCAGCAGUGGGGAAUAUUGCACAAUGGGCGGAAGCCUGAUGCAGCAACGCCGCGUGCGGGAUGACGGCCUUCGGGUUGUAAACCGCUUUCGCCUGUGACGAAGCGUGAGUGACGGUAAUGGGUAAAGAAGCACCGGCUAACUACGUG